CACGUAGGAGGCAAACGUUAUCCGGAUUUACUGGGCGUAAAGCGCGUGUAGGUGGUUCUGUAAGUAGGGCGUGAAAGCUCCCGGCUCAACUGGGAGAGGCCGUUCUAAACUGCAGAGCUAGAGGAUGGUAGAGGGAGGUGGAAUUCCUAGUGUAGCGGUGGAAUGCUCAGAUAUUAGGAAGAACACCAGUGGCGAAGGCGGCUUCCUGGCCUGUACCUGACGCUGAGAGGCGAAAGCUAGGGUAGCAAACGGGCUUAGAUACCCGCGUAGUCCCU
rnacentral:rRNA from 1 species